UUUCCGUAGGUGAACCUGCGGAAGGAUCAUUACUGAGUGAGGGCCCUCUGGGUCCAACCUCCCACCCGUGUUUAUUGUACCUUGUUGCUUCGGUGAGCCCGCCUCACGGCCGCCGGGGGCAUCCUCCCCCGGGCCCGCCCUCCCCGAAGACCCCCUUGAACUCUGUCUGAAGUUUGCAGUCUGAGCGAAAACUAAAUAAGUUAAAACUUUCAACAACGGAUCUCUUGGUUCCG
rnacentral:misc_RNA from 1 species